rnacentral:misc_RNA from 1 species
GAUGAAGAACGCAGCGAAAUGCGAUAAGUAGUGUGAAUUGCAGAAUUCAGUGAAUCAUCGAAUCUUUGAACGCACAUUGCGCCCGCCAGUAUUCUGGCGGGCAUGCCUGUUCGAGCGUCAUUUCAACCCUCAAGCCCAGCUUGGUGUUGGGGAUCGGCACAGGCGCCCUCGGGCGCCCGCCGUCCCCUAAAUCUAGUGGCGGUCCCGCUGCAGCCUCCUCUGCGUAGUAGUUUUCUCCUCGCAAGGGCAGCUCGGUGGCGACCUCGCCGUAAAACCCCCAACUUCUGAAAGGUUGACCUCGAAUCAGGUAGGAAUACCCGCUGAACUUAAGCAUAUCAAUAAGCGGGGA